ensembl:lncRNA
UAAUGAUAUACUGGUAGUCUAAUUUUGUUAGCUAACAUUAGCUUGCUUGGUAAAUCAUUCCUGCAUUAACUGGAAAGGGAAGACAGUAUGCUAAUGUCUCGUAACCUAUAUCAACCUGACACUUUGCGUCUAUAAACUAUGUUUUAGUUGCUAAUUACUAAACUAUUUACCAAGUGGUUAAAUGUGUUUUUCAGCUGCUAAUAUAAGCGCAGACAUGCUUCCCAGCCUCUCUAAGGAGGAUUUACGUGAUCUCUUUCCCAGGCCAGGGCACUUCUUCAGAAGGAGAACCAUUUGGAGACUUACUCAUGGUGAAAAUGAGGGUCAAGAAUCAGACCUGUGUAGACCAGGCACCUCUACUGGCACCUGUGAUUUCAGCCCCACUACCACCCCCUUUCCCUCCUCCUACUCCUCCAGAAAUCUGUGAAGAAGCAGCUUUUGAAAAGGAAGAGGCCACAAAGAAAGAGGCCACGAAGCCUUUCAGAGCAGCCAGGAGAUGUCCACUGAUGAGACUUUGAUCUUGGAGAGAUCCCCACAAUCUAGAUUCAGCACCCCAGAGGUUGAACGGUUGGGUGAUAAGUACACAAAUUUAAAUAGUGGAUAGUGUUUCCGUAUAAAUACAACUUCUACUACGACUCUAAACGAGGGACUAGAAACAAAGUGACUAAUUUAGUCUUUAGUGUUUCCCGUGGAAUGAGAGGUUUGGGGUGGUAGUAACAGCGGAAACAUUGGUCUUAAUUUCAUUCUACAUUUUUAAAUGUUAAUUGGUUUUAAAUGUUAACAGAACCAGGCGAGACAUUAUAAAAUUCUACAGGAGAUGUACAAAACCAAGGCCAGUGUCACGUUCUGACCUUUAUUUCCUUUGUUUUGUAUUUAUUUAGUAUGGUCAGGGCGUGAGUUGGGUGGGCAAUCUAUGUUUGUUUUUCUAGGUUUUGUGCCUGGUUAACACCAGACCUGAGCAGCGUGAGAAGCCAUAGCAGGGAUGGGGGUAAACUACUUCGGGCAAAUGUAAAACAGUGAGCUUGCGAGAAUUCGGUCUGGUAGUAACCAGGCUAAUGCUUCCUACGCCUCCAGCUAGAUAGUGUUAAGACUCGCGUUGUCUCUGUCUGUGUGUGUCAGGUUAUGGAUGAGCUCCGGUGGAACCUCGAUCGAGGGAACUCCCGCUUCGUACCUGAACUGAAGACCCGCUGGGGGACCUUUUACAACAAGGCACAGUUUUAUGGAGUGCUCAAAGGUCAUGAAGCCACCGCUGCUGGACAAAGUGAAGUACUCAAUUGCCUUGGAGGCUUUACCAGACAUGUUGCGACAAUCCUCUCUGUGCUGCAGACAGAAGUCUUCUCGGACCCCAUCCACAACCAGGACAUGAAUUCUUAAAAAAUAAAAGGCUAUGGCCGAGUGGAAAAGGUUCAUUACUGACUAGGGUUGCACAAUAAAAAAUAACAAAAUUCUGGUCCAGAUAACAGAACUGUGUGUAUCAUCCGAUAACCUUUAGUAAAUAGGCAGGGAGUUUGUUUAUUAUAAGGUUUAAAGCACUGUUACGUUUUAUCUUGCCAUAGGUCUUGCCUUUUCAUUUUCACAUUGACCACCAAUGGCCUUUGUUGUUUUUGCAUCCUUUGUUCUGCCCAUAUGCAGCCUCUGGAUAUACUGAGUCCUCAAAGAAUUGAAAAGAAAUUAGAUGCAUUUCUUUAAGCAAGCCAAUCUUAUUUCUAGUAGUAAGAUUGGCUUGCUUAAAGAAAUGCAUCUAAUUUCUUUUCAAAUCUUAGUCAGGAUUCCUUAAUUUAAGCACAAUAUUUAAUUCCAGGGUAUAUGGCCUUAUUUCAAGAUUGCAAAUUUAAGCACAUUUUCCUACAUAUUGAGAAAAUAAUUCUUAAAUCUUUUCUUUGUAUCCAGACAUAUGUACAUGUUUUAAGAUAUAGUUACGAAACAUAUAGCCUUAUUUCAAGAUGAUGGCACUAGCAUUUGCUAAAUUUAAGCACAUUUCCCUACAUAUUGAAAAAUGAUUCCUAAAUCUUUGAUUUGUAACCAGACAAAUGACUUGUUUUUAGUCUGGCCGCACUGUUCUUUGAGAAGAGAUAUUUUUACUUGUUUUAAAAAUCUUGGCAAGUAAAAUUUUCCUGUUCUGUUGGCAGAUCAUUUUGCUUAUUUUAAGGAAUUUCCCCCAUUUUAUUGCUUUUUUUUAAACUUGUUUUUUCUUAAGAGCUGACUUUUUGCAGUGAUGUUGAUGUGAAAAAUAUUUCUUGGUCCAUGGUGUGUGAUGACGAGCAACCAGC